UCCGAUUAAGCACUAAUCUUCCAGAAAAGCAAAAAGAUGGCAGAAUCCAUAAAGAAAGGAGCCAUCAAAGGCAGAACAUCCAGACCACUCCAAUACUUUGUUGCCUUCCACGCACCACGAACAAAAGGGCAAGCAUGGCUGAAAGGGAUCACACGUCUUUGAGGAUAACUUCUGAGUAGGAAACUGGGGGACUUGUCUAGGUCAUUGUUACACCCUUAUUAGUAGUUGUAGAGGAAUUAGAGGACUCUCAAGUAAGAGCUUUCUUGACCCAUAAAUCGCAUUCUCUAGCAGUAAACAAAACUGAGCUACGCCUUAAAGGAGUUCCGAGAAAAUUAGCUCAUUUCAGGCCCUCCAAAUUGACCACAGAAUAGCUACAAAUUAAAAGCUGGACCACUGAGUUGCAAUUUGCUGGAUUGACAACUAGGCUGUGGGGAUAUCCUAAAGCAUAAAGAACACAAAAAUCAAAUGAGAAUACAAAAUUUACAGGGGAAAAAGUGAUGCUCCGGAUUCAACAACCUUAUAACACAAAGGGUAUAAACUGUCAAGAUAAUGGAUAAUUCUUAAGACACUUCAAAAUUGCAGGCAACUGAAGACCACCUAUAAGCCCCCAACCCUUCUUAGAACCAGUAGGAGGGCCAUGGUCAAUUACUAUGGCCUAUGGGGGCUGUUCGAGGAGAAUUCGCAAAUAAGUUCAUAUCCUAAUUUUGUGGAAAACAAACCAUCGUGGGUUAGAGACUAGAUGAUUUGAUCAUGCCCUAGAGUAUUAGCAAGAGGGAUAGCAACAGGGAUCAAAAUAUCAGCCAAUAAGUUACUAUCGGCCGUUACGUAUUGAGAUUUUGGCCAUCCAAUACCAAUAUUUUAGUAAAUAUCGGCCGAUGUAGGGUUGUAUCACCAAUACUAAUACCAUUACUGAUACAACGAUUUAAAAUCCUGUAUAGCAGGAAUUUCUCUUGCAAUAUCUAGGUGAAACAUGGAAGUAACUUUACCCAAAUCCGAAAGAGG
rnacentral:lncRNA from 1 species